rnacentral:rRNA from 1 species
UACGAGGGGGGCAAGCGUUGUUCGGAAUUAUUGGGCGUAAAGGGCGCGUAGGCGGUUUGACAAGUCUGAUGUGAAAUCUAUGGGCUCAACCCAUAGCCUGCAUUAGAAACUGUCGGGCUUGAGUAUGGGAGAGGUGAGUGGAAUUUCCGGUGUGGCGGUGAAAUGCGUAGAUAUCGGAAGGAACACCUGUGGCGAAAGCGGCUCACUGGACCAUAACUGACGCUGAGGCGCGAAAGCUAGGGGAGCAAACAGG